ensembl:misc_RNA Y_RNA Y RNA
GGCUGGUCCAAGUGUAAUGAUAUUUACAACUAAUUGAUCAUAACCAGUUACAGAUUUCUUUGUUCCUUCUCCACUGUCACUGUUUCACUUGACUAGCCUUAA